GACAGAGGAGGCAAGCGUUAUCCGGAAUUAUUGGGCGUAAAGCGUUCGUAGGUGGUUUGACAAGUCUGGGGUUAAAGCCCGGAGCCCAACUCCGGAUCGGCCCUGGAAACUGUCAGACUUGAGUAAGGUAGGGGUUGCGGGAAUUCCCGGUGUAGCGGUGAAAUGCGUAGAUAUCGGGAAGAACACAAGCGGCGAAAGCGCGCAACUGGGCUAUUACUGACACUGAGGGACGAAAGCUAGGGGAGCGAAUGGG
rnacentral:rRNA from 1 species